rnacentral:rRNA from 1 species
AUAACCUUCCGAAAGGAGGGCUAAUACCGAAUGAGACCACAAUGACAUAUGUCAUAGGGGUUAAAGGUGGCCUCUACUUGUAAGCUAUCGCACAAAGAUAGGUCUAUGCACCAUCAGCUAGUUGGUAAGGUAACGGCUUACCAAGGCUUUGACGGUUAGCUGAUCUGAGAGGUUGAUCAGCCACACUGGAACUGAGACACGGUCCAGACUCCUACGGGAGGCAGCAGUAGGGAAUAUUGCGCAAUGGAGGAAACUCUGACGCAGCGACGCCGCGUGGGUGACGAAGGUCUUCGGAUCGUAAAGCCCUGUCGGAAGGGACGAAAGACGCUAUGGCUAACAUCCAUAGCGAGUGACGGUACCUUUAAAGGAAGCACCGGCUAACUACGUGCCAGCAGCCGCGGUAA